GAGAAUGCGAGCUUCCGGGCUAGAGCAUGCUGUGGGCUUCGGCUCGUCCCACCCCGUGCGGCGGGGCGCCGACGCUUUCCUUUCUGGUUGGGCGGACCGGCGCCAUCCGGAUGAGGAAAACUGAGGCCCAAUGCAUAACGAUUGGAAAACACGCGGAGGCCCCCCUCCCCACCCCAUCCACGAAAUUGAACGCUGUGUACUCAGAAUGACCAAUCCUGGAUCCGCGUUCAAAUGGCUUGAAAAUGUGUCUCCCCCUUCUUUGCAGAGAUGGGCAGUUGGAGGAUGUGGAACGUUGCUAUGAUGUUUUGUUUCCGUUUUGCUUACUAGACUUUCUGCUGUUUUCAAAAUAAAUCUCAUUGAGAAGGAUGGAGAGGUGGGUAGGAGAGAGAGUUGACCAAGGAGGGAUACGUUUGGAAAUAAAAGUGAUGUAAACACAAAAUAAAUCAGUAAACUUUGAAAAGAACGAAAAAAAAAUUAA